rnacentral:lncRNA from 1 species
AAUAUAUACCAAGUUAGCAUAAGAAAAGCGGGAAACAUGAUCUUUGGGAGAGACCUGUAUUUGGGAAAGAUAACUACAAUUCCUUAAAAAUAGAACCAUGAGAUGUCCAUACAUACGCUACAAAAUACCAAGUUGGGAAAUACUAGAGUUUAUCUUGCUUCCAAUAUUUACACGAGAUGUGUCAUUUUAUUAUGUGCUAUGCUUAGUAGGCAUUCAAGUUUUUGAAAUCCAGAUGUGCUGUAAAGAAGUAAUUUUGAAGGAUUUUUUUUCCUGAGAUGGUAUUGUGAAAUGGUAAGCAAGCAAUCUCUGCACCACAUGUUCUUGUUCACCAAAUUUAUUGUUGAACAUUCAGAACACCAGAUUACAACAGAUCAAAAAGAAAGCACCAAAAAUCGCUACACAUUAAUACCUGAGCAAAGACUGAAGGCAAAUGGUUAUAUUAAAAUACAGGUACCUCCUAUGUAGGAUAAAAUUAUUUAACACAAAGGAAAAACUCAUUCCAAAAAACAAUGUUAACUGACUUUUUAGGUCUUGUACAUUAUCUUUUCACUAAUUUCCAGUCACUACUAGUUAACUGGAUGGACUGUCACUAAAUCAAGGCCAAACAGUUUAAUAUUUGGUUUUCUCUUGCCUCUUUAUUUGCAAGGCUACUUUUGCAAACUGCAUCAACUUUACUAGACAGAGAAACAAUAAGUGACAUUAACUGAUGGGGAAAACUAUAUGAGGGACUGAAAUUCCCUUUGAGAAUUUCUAUAGGGGUGAAAUUAAAGAAUUUCAAUCAGAUAAAUGUGAGUCUAUCAUUUUUCUACUUCUCUAUCAUGAGUAUACACCCAUCAAUGUUAACACUUCAGCAUUAACACCAUUGUUUAUAUUUUCUGUUAAAAUAUGCAUUUUAAAAUGUUUAUUUCAUUGUACUGUUAGGAUCUAGUAGAUAUUUUUCCCCUUUGAAACAUGUGAUUUAUAAAGGGACUGAAUGGAAAUACAUAGAAAACAAAACAAAUUCCAUAGUAAACGAGAGACACCUGUACUAAAAAUAAUCUGUACAACAAAAUUUAAAGUUUUACACAACAGAAUGAAUCUGUGAUGAAAGAUUACUUCAAUUAACAAAAGAUCAUUAUUGAGUAAAUUAAGUUUUAAACUCAAUAAAAUCAGAGAACAUUAUUCCA